rnacentral:rRNA from 1 species
GACGAACGCUGGCGGCGUGCCUAUACAUGCAAGUAGACGCUGAAGGAGGAGCUUGCUUCUCUGGAUGAGUUGCGAACGGGUGAGUACGCGUAGGUAACCUGCCUGGUAGCGGGGGAUAACUAUUGGAAACGAUAGCUAAUACCGCAUAAGAGUAGAUGUUGCAUGACAUUUGCUUAAAAGGUGCAAUUGCAUCACUACCAGAUGGACCUGCGUUGUAUUAGCUAGUUGGUGAGGUAACGGCUCACCAAGGCGACGAUACAUAGCCGACCUGAGAGGGUGAUCGGCCACACUGGGACUGAGACACGGCCCAGACUCCUACGGGAGGCAGCAGUAGGGAAUCUUCGGCAAUGGACGGAAGUCUGACCGAGCAACGCCGCGUGAGUGAAGAAGGUUUUCGGAUCGUAAAGCUCUGUUGUAAGAGAAGAACGAGUGUGAGAGUGGAAAGUUCACACUGUGACGGUAUC